AAUGUCUUUUUUCUUAACUCUGGUUUAGUUAUUAUCGCCGUUUAAGAACUUUAUGAACCACAUUAAAGGGAAAGUAUGUUUUCUGAAAAGAAAAUCAUGCACACUUCUUUGGCACCAACAAGGUAUUUUUGUUUCCUGUAUAUGUAUGUUUACCAAAGAGAUCAACUCUUUAAUUUACAAGCAUUUAAAUUGUAUAUACUGUAUUGCCAGGCACAGUUUAAAAAAAACCUUACAAAUACUAGUUUAAUCCUCUUAACAACCUGGGAGGGAAGGUGCUUUUAUUAUCCUCAUUUUAUAGAUGAGGAAACAUGUGGAGAAGAACCAUAUCUGUGUCACACAGUUAGUGGAUGGCAGAGCUGAGAUUCAGACCCAGACAGUCUCUACAGUCUGCACUUCUAACUGCCACGUUCUCCUCCCUUCCUUGGAGGCCUCUACCAGGCAGAUCUUUUUCCUAGUCAUGUGGGUAGUAAGCACUUUCCCAUAUUUUUUGUCAUUACCACUCUAAGACUGCAGAAUAAUAAUCCAUUGAUUUAAUAUGCCAUAAAUCUUUUUUUUGCCAUAAAUCUUUUUAAUAAUUUGUCCAUUUGAGCCAUUUAAGUUCUGAGAGUUUUUGCAAUUAUAAAUAAUGUUGUUCUAAUCACUAAUAUCUUUAUGUGUUUGGGGAUGAAUUUUUAGGAGUGUAUUACUUAGUUAAGGAAUAUAAACAUUUUUAUAGCUUUUGAUACUGCCUUUUUCAUAUGGCUAAUAAAAAAACCCCACUUUUGCUUUUCUUGAUUUAUGUUCUUAAUUUUCCUUUUACAUUACGAACUUUGAAACAGUUUCUUCUCAGUAUUUUUCUGAAAUGUAACUGUCUUCUCAAUUAUUUACUUGAAGAAUAUAUGUUGGUUCGAUGGAAUGUUUUCUGAUAUUCCAGUCUGGAAUUCAUCGUGCUUUCUUUCAUUUACCCCUCUCCCCCACUGAGUUUGUAUUGUCAUGAAGAAGAUUGCUAGGUCUCUAAUCAGCCUGAUUUCCUGAAGUGAAACUUGAUUGACAGUUCAGAAGAGAUGCCUAUACUUUUCACAGUAAUGUCUGGAACCAAUGAUGAGGAUAUCUGUAUUUCAGUUAGAUUCACUUCUU